rnacentral:rRNA from 1 species
AUUGAACGCUGGCGGCAUGCUUUACACAUGCAAGUCGAACGGUAACAGCACUUCGGUGGCUGACGAGUGGCGAACGGGUGAGUAAUACAUCGGAACGUGCCUAGUAGUGGGGGAUAACUACUCGAAAGAGUAGCUAAUACCGCAUGAGAUCUAAGGAUGAAAGCAGGGGACCUUCGGGCCUUGCGCUACUAGAGCGGCUGAUGGCAGAUUAGGUAGUUGGUGGGAUACAAGCUUACCAAGCCGACGAUCUGUAGCUGGUCUGAGAGGACGACCAGCCACACUGGGAGUGAGAGACGGACGAGACGCCAACGGGAGGCAGCAGUGGGGAGUGUAGGACAAAGGGCGGAAGCGUGAAAAAGGAAUGCCGAGGGAAGGAAGAAGGCAUUCGGGUUGGAAACGGGUAUUGUAGGGAACGAAAAGACCAACACAAAAAAAGGAGGGUCAUGAAGGUACCGGAAGAAAAAGCACCGGCUAACUACGUG